UUUGACCUCGGAUCAGGUAGGGAUACCC
rnacentral:ncRNA from 4 species